rnacentral:rRNA from 1 species
UACGUAGGGUGCAAGCGUUGUCCGGAAUUAUUGGGCGUAAAGAGCUCGUAGGCGGUCUGUCGCGUCGGUUGUGAAAAUCCAGGGCUCAACCUGGGACCUGCAUUCGAUACGGGCAGACUAGAGUUCGGCAGGGGAGAGUGGAAUUCCUGGUGUAGCGGUGAAAUGCGCAGAUAUCAGGAGGAACACCGGUGGCGAAAGCGGCUCACUGGACCACAACUGACGCUGAGGCGCGAAAGCUAGGGGAGCAAACAGG